rnacentral:rRNA from 1 species
AAACUCAAAGGAAUUGACGGGGAGCACCACAACGGGUGGAGCUUGCGGGUUUAAUUGGAUUCAACGCCGGAAAUCUUACCGGGACCGACAGCAAUAUGAAGGCCAGGCUGAAGACUUUGCCGGAUUAGCUGAGAGGUGGUGCAUGGCCGUCGUCAGUUCGUACUGUGAAGCAUCCUGUUAAGUCAGGCAACGAGCGAGACCCACGCCCACAGUUGCCAGCGUACUCUCUGGAGUGACGGGUACACUGUGGGACCGCCGCUGCUAAAGCGGAGGAAGGAAUGGGCAACGGUAGGUCAGUAUGCCCCGAAUAUCCCGGGCUACACGCGAGCUACAAUGGUUGGUACAAUGGGUAUCUACCCCGAAAGGGGACGGGAAUCUCCUAAAACCAAUCUUAGUUCGGAUUGAGGGCUGCAACUCGCCCUCAUGAAGCUGGAAUCCGUAGUAAUCGCGUUUCAACAGAACGCGGUGAAUACGUCCCUGCUCCUU